ensembl:lncRNA MUC20-OT1 MUC20 overlapping transcript
CUGUCUUGGGACGGAUCACCGCUGCAAGAGGGGAAGUUGCUACUGUGAUGAAUUCUGCCAUGUGGCACCAGACUGCCACCCAGACCACAGUGUCCUCUGCAACCCUGCUUCUCAGAUGACCAAGAUGGUGCUGCAGAUGGUGCUGAGGAUGGAGAACCCACCAAGCCCCGCUAGGAGCCACCUAGACUGGAUGCAGAGCAUGAAGGAAGGCAAGAUUUCCUGGGUCCGUGAUGAUGGAAGGCUGACAACUCUUUUAUGGAGUUUGAGCUUGCUCCCAGCAGGGAAGACAAGUUCGAGUUUUUUUCCUGCUUCAAGGAUGGUAGAGAGCAGUCUUCAGCCUGAGACCCAUCCCUAGGCCCCAGCACCCGCAGAGCAGACACUGCGAUGACAACGGACGACACAGAAGUGCCCGCUAUGACUCUAGCACCGGGCCACGCCGCUCUGGAAACUCAAACGCUGAGCGCUGAGACCUCUUCUAGGGCCUCAACCCCAGCCGGCCCCAUUCCAGAAGCAGAGACCAGGGGAGCCAAGAGAAUUUCCCCUGCAAGAGAGACCAGGAGUUUCACAAAAACAUCUCCCAACUUCAUGGUGCUGAUCGCCACCUCCGUGGAGACAUCAGCCGCCAGUGGCAGCCCCGAGGGAGCUGGAAUGACCACAGUUCAGACCAUCACAGGCAGUGAUCCCAGGGAAGCCAUCUU